rnacentral:misc_RNA from 1 species
AACUUUUAGCAAUGGAUCACUUGGUUCUCGCAUCGAUGAAGAACGCAGCGAAUUGCGAUAUGUAAUGUGAAUUGCAGAAUUAAGUGAAUCAUCGAAUCUUUGAAAGCACCUUGCGCCCUUUGGUAUUCCGAAGGGCAUGCCUGUUUGAGUGUGAUUAAAUUCUCAACUUCAAAAUGCUUUGUUUUGAAGCUUGGACUUUGGAGGUCUUUUUGCCGGCAUCACUGUCAGCUCCUCUUAAAUGCAUUAGCGGAACUUUAUUCAAGGACCAGCUUUGGUUUGAUAAUCCUAUCUAUGCCGUCGCUGUGGACUUUUUUGUUCAGCUUCUAAUGGUCUUCGGACUGUCUCUUACGAGGCAUACACUUUUAAGCUUGACCUCAAAUCAGGUAGGACUACCCGCUGAACUUAAGCAUAUCAAUAAGCGGAGGCU